CCUACGGGUGGCAGCAGUAGGGAAUCUUCCACAAUGGACGAAAGCCUGAUGGAGCAACGCCGCGUGGGUGAAGAAGGUCUUCGGAUCGUAAAACCCUGUUUUUAGAGAAGAAAGUGCGUGAGAGUAACUGUUCACGUUUCGACGGUAUCUAACCAGAAAGCCACGGCUAACUACGUGCCAGCAGCCGAGGUAAUACGUAGGUGGCAAGCGUUAUCCGGAUUUAUUGGGCGUAAAGGGAACGCAGGCGGUCUUUUAAGUCUGAUGUGAAAGCCUUCGGCUUAACCGGAGUAGUGCAUUGGAAACUGGGAGACUUGAGUGCAGAAGAGGAGAGUGGAACUCGAUGUGUAGCGGUGAAAUGCGUAGAUAUAUGGAAGAACACCAGUGGCGAAAGCGGCUCUCUGGACUGUAACUGACGCUGAGGUUCGAAAGCGUGGGUAGCAAACAGGAUUAGAUACCCGAGUAGUC
rnacentral:rRNA from 1 species